GAGAGAGAGAGAGAGAGAGAAUGGGUGGAGACAAAAAAAUGUUGGGGAAAAAAGAAAAUGAAAAAUGGGAUGUGGAUCAGUUUUGGAAGGCCAGUGUUGGAAGUAACGUCCUUGGUAUAGAUGGAGAAGGCUUCUUAUCCACAAAGGUCAUACAAAACAGAGCACAUCUCUCUCCCUAUCUCUAUCUCCAGUCUUGUUUGUUAUACAUGCCUCUGCAAUUAAAUUUUAGAGAGAAAAAGGGGCGAGUGGAAAAUGCAUGCACUUUGGGUGAAUUAUGGAGGUAGAUGUGGGGGAGGUGAAAGAAAUUUGAGUCUUUCUCUCUCUCUUAUUUCUCUCUCGUAGUCUUAUCUUCAAACUGGUUGUUGCCGCGUUGGUUCAGUGGCCCUGCUUCCGUUGCCGAGUUUUAGGCGGGCUGCGUUCCUUGUUUGCUUUCCAAAACAAAAUCGAAAACGCAUCAAAAAAUUAUAUAAAAGUAAGUGCGAUAGGAGAGAGAAAUAAAAUAUAUUAUAAACCAAAAACACAGAUGCCGGAGAGAGAGAGAGAGAGAGAGAUUUUGAUGGGCCCUCCUCCGCUUUGCUUUUGUUGGAUAGUACAAAGGGGCGAGAGUGGGUCCCAAAUCCGUUUUGUCACCUUUUGGGUCAGGUUGUUGAGCCUUCACAAACACCGUUAUUCAUGUGUGGCUGCCAAAUUCUUGGGUGGUCCUUUCCAAGAAACAUGCUUGCAUGACUCCCUCUCUCUCUCUCUCUCUCUCUAUCAAACCAUGCAAGAGUUUCCACUUUUUCUAUCCGCCAAAUUGAGAGAAUUUCAAAUAUGAGAUCCCAUUAUCUAUCGCUCCAAAACCGGUUAAAGUAAAUUUUUCAUAGACAGACAUCUAUGUUGUGUGAACAGUAGGCAAUGCCACCAUGAUCUUUUUACUAAAAAUAAAAUAAAUUUAUUGCAAAAUUAAAUCUAUCUAAAAUAAUCAAAAUAACUAUAAAUUAAAUAAUAAACGGAAACCAAGUUUACUUGCUCGAGCUAGUUGGCCCAAGAUGCUUGAGUUGGUGGUGCGCCCGUAUCAGGAUUGCGGAUUGUUUACACCUCGUGCCUUUUAUUUCUCUUUUUAACUUAGUUGAAUUCCCCUAUGAUAUUUGCUGGAAAUAUUGAUUGUGGACGGUUGUUAGACAUUAACAUUGAAUUAAAAGUUUUGUAGCUUAGAUCUAGUGUUAUGUCUUCUACGAUCUAGUGUUAUGUCUUCUACGAUCUAGUGUUUAGAUGACCUGGGGUGAGGUCUGUUCUCUCGACUUUGGGGUUUAGAAAACUAGGGUUUAGGCCUAAAAGAUGAGGCUUCUAAACUUCUAACUUUUCUUUGAGUAUUAGGUUUUUUAGAUAAACUAGGUGUUAUUUCAUUAAAUGACCCAAAAUAAAAAAAUUUAUAGGCUUUAAAAGUUGGUUCUAAGUCGGUUGGGAAUGAUUCAUGUUGGAUUCCAACAAAAAAAUUGAGUUAACUAGUCAGACAGGUUCAAAUGCCACAUUAUAUGGCGUUUAGGGGUUUCUGACCUAGACGCCACGAACAGUGGUGACUAGGGUUCUUAGAUAUGUGAGAGCUGAUUUUUCAAGGUUUCAUGGAUCUACAUAUUAGACGCCACGUACCAUGGCAUGUCAAGCUCUAUGGUCCAAAACCGUGGCGUUUAUGGUUUGCUAAUUUUUCAGGAUUUUGUUGAUCUUCUUGAUAUUGAUUCAAAUUCGUAUUUUCUUCUUCGAAUUUAUCUCGAACGCUUCUAUCCUAAGUUGGUUUUCAUACUUUCUAGUGUUUAGGAUGACUUUCUAGAAUUUAAGAUAGUUUCCUAGUGUUUUAGGAUUAUUUUGGAGAUUCUCUAAUAUUUUUUGAAGGUUGGGACCAUGGUCCAAAGGACUAAAAGGUUGGGACCGUGGUCCAAAGGACUAUGUACUAUAGAAGGGGUGACCUAUGGUUUAUUUGGGUGAGAUGGUCCCUUGGGGUCUAGUUGACAUUUUUAAUGCAAUUUUAGGGAUUUAAAAAUUUUAAAAAUAGGAACAAUAGGGAAAGUUAGCCAAUUCAAAAAUAGGGUGCCUACAUAUAUAACUUUCAAUUUUUCCUACUCUAUGUUUUUUGAAAUGUUCUUAGAUUGAAUUUCAUAAAUAUAAAUAAUUAAAUUAAUUAUUUAAAAUAUGAAAUAUAUUAAAAACAAUAUCAAACCAUAUCUGGCCGGUCUAACUUGUUGAAAUUAAAAAGCCAAACUAGACAAAGCCAAUCAAGCAUUAAUUUUAUCUGAUUUUUACCAAAUCCAACUAAAGCACCAAUGGAC
rnacentral:lncRNA from 1 species